UUAAUUGAAACCAAAGUAGAGGUAAAUCACUGUUAAUGAUUAAAAUGGGCUAUCCCCCAAUUAAA
rnacentral:tRNA from 1 species